rnacentral:rRNA from 1 species
AACGAACGCUGGCGGCAUGCCUAACACAUGCAAGUCGAACGAGACCUUCGGGUCUAGUGGCGCACGGGUGCGUAACGCGUGGGAACCUGCCCUUAGGUUCGGAAUAACUCAGAGAAAUUUGAGCUAAUACCGGAUAAUGUCUUCGGACCAAAGAUUUAUCGCCUUUGGAUGGGCCCGCGUAGGAUUAGCUUGUUGGUGGGGUAAUGGCCUACCAAGGCGACGAUCCUUAGCUGGUCUGAGAGGAUGAUCAGCCACACUGGGACUGAGACACGGCCCAGACUCCUACGGGAGGCAGCAGUGGGGAAUAUUGGACAAUGGGCGAAAGCCUGAGCCAGCAAUGCCGCGUGAGUGAUGAAGGCCUUAGGGUUGUAAAGCUCUUUUAACAGGGAUGAUAAUGACAGUACCUGGAGAAUAAGCUCCGGCUAACUCCGUG